rnacentral:rRNA from 1 species
CCCUUAGAUGUUCUGGGCCGCACGCGCGCUACACUGACGAAUGCAACGAGCUUAUAACCUUGGCCGAAAGGUCUGGGUAAUCUCCAAAUUUCGUCGUGAUGGGGAUAGAUUAUUGCAAUUAUUAAUCUUCAACGAGGAAUGCCUAGUAAGCGCAAGUCAUCAGCUUGCGUUGAUUACGUCCCUGCCCUUUGUACACACCGCCCGUCGCUCCUACCGAUUGAAUGGUCCGGUGAAGCGCUCGGACCGCGGCCUCUUGACGGUUUUCCGUCGAUUGGCUGUGGGAAGUUCGUUAAACCUUAUCAUUUAGAGGAAGGAGAAGUCGCAACA